GCCGGGGGGCGCGGCCGGAGCCGCGGGGAGCCGCGGGGGAGAGGAGGGCCGCAGGGAGGGCAGGGCGGCUCUCCGCUGCGAGCCCUGAGGGAGCCGCGCGUCCGGGCGAGGGAGAGCGGAGUUUUCCGACGGACCGGGAGAGCAGGAGAAAGUUGUUAAAAGCACGAACAUCUGCAGAUCAAGGAGACUUUACUCUCUUCCCGGGGCCUCCAGGUGCGGCUUCCAGGUGCAGCCUUCCGAGCAGAGGCACCUCCCCUCAAGGCGGACAGUCUCCACCCACAGCCCUCCAUUAGGUUGGGUGUAGCAUCAGAUAAAGAAGCCGACCCUGUUGCCCUGCCCUCAAGGAGUUAAAGAUUCCAUUGGACUUGGAGAGAUAUGAAAGGAUCACUGAAAAACAAACAUGUGAAGAUAACCACCGCCACAAAUACCAAGGAAAGCUGGCCUGGAUGGCUUGGAAGACAACAAAAAAUGGUAUGAAAGAUAAAAGAGGUUAGAGCUCCGGGGCUGCUCCGUGCAGGGAGGGGCUGCUCCACAGACACAACUCUUCCUUCCUGGUCGCUUUCAUCCCCUAACCUGGAACUGAGGGGUCUGCACAGCUCCACAUGCAAGCAGUGUGGCCACUGGUAGUGGUCUGUGGACCACCAUGGGCAAUGAGGAUUGAGAACACCCAAUCCAGCGGACAUUCAGUAGAGGACAGCCACGUCACCUUCGGCACUGUCACCACCAUUACAACGUUAAUGCGGGGCGUGCAGGAGCAGUCCCAAGGCAAGCAGCGGCCUGUCCAGGUGCUGGCUCUUGUCCUUAUGGCUCAUUUCACCAUCUCCCCUCUUCCUGAUUCCUUCCCUGGGCUGUACUAGCAGCAUCUGGACCUCCUACGUGCACAUGGGAGGGUGCCCGGGCCACAGGCACGCUGCCUUAAAGUCCUGUGUUUUUGCAAUAUAGGAACUAAUGAAAGGGGCUCCAGGAGAGAUGGACAGGCCCCCUGAGAAGAGACCUGGAAUGAGGGGAACUGAAAGGAGACCACGGCCAGCCACAUCCUCCCUGGGGCCUCAGUCUCCUUCCUCAUCUGAACGACCAGCUGAGCCUGGGUUCUCUGUCAGCUGACUGCAGGAGCCUCCACCCCGGAUCAAGCCACUGCCUGCCACACCCUGGCAGAGCCUCCGGUAGGCCACUGCCCACCCCUCUAGGACACACCUCACCAAUCUCAGCAUCCGGGCCA